rnacentral:rRNA from 1 species
CGUAAGCCAGGUUGGUUUCUAUCUUUAGUAUAUGGUAAUAUUUUAGUACGAAAGGACCAAAUAUUAGAUAAAUAAUUAUUUUAUUUUGAAUAACAUUAACUAUUUUGGCAGAAAAGUGUAAUAAAUUUAGAAUUUAUGUAUGUAGUAAUUUACAAAUAGUAUUGUUUUUAUUUGAAAUUAUUUUAUUUGUUAUUAGAAGAUUAUUAUUAAUUA